ensembl:lncRNA
GGAAGAUCCUGUGGGAUUUGUCUUUCCUGAGAAGCCAAGAUAAAGCAGAACCAGAUCUGUCUGGCCUUGAGGGAGGCAGGAGUCGGUUCUUCUCCAGCCACAGAGACCUGAAGUGCAAACGGGCUCUCAAGUUCUCCUGUGAUCUUCCAUUUCUAGUGCUAGAUUUCCCCCUUGUUAAGAAGUCCAGAUUAACUUCUCGCUCCACCUGCAUGGUAAAAAUAAUUAGUACAGAGAUCUUGCUGCACUAAAAUGCAGGGAUUCCACCUCUGCCUUUGGUCAAGAGAGGCUUCAUGGACACAGAUGGGCAGCAUUUCUGUGUUUCUCUGCAGGCAGGCCCCCUUGUGAUAAUCAGGCUUCUUCAACUGCGACCUCAGACAUUCCACAGGACGUGGCCAACAUGGAUGCAGUGUGUGCUGGUCACCAAUCACCAAGGACGACCUCCCUGCAGCACCCAGCUCUCCCUGUGCCCACAUGGCUGGCAGCUCCUGGCUGGGUGGACAGGCUCUAAACAGCACCAGCCCCUCCCAGGCCCUCCUGCACACAUGGAGACCACUGCGAACACAGACAGAGCCUGCUUUCCAGAGAGCGAAACCUGGUGGGCAGAGAUGGCGAAUAAAUAAAGAUCCACAGAAGUAGCACCCAGUGACAAACACUUGGCAGAGAGCCAACAGGACAGGAGAGGGCCCCCGGGCAGUCUGCGAAGGUUCCUCUGCAAAGGUGAACUUUGAGCUUGGGUGGAAGAGGGGCCAGCUCUGUAAGACUCAGCAGCCACAUUCCAGGAGAAGGGAGCAGCUGGCCAAGUCCCCAGGGCAGGAAGGCUCCUGGCAUGUGUGGRAGCCAGGACAGGGAGAGGGCAGAAGGAGAGGGCCAAUGAAGACSGAGGUGAGCAGAAGGCAGGGCCAGAGGCUGAGGACUGUCAGAAGCUGCUGAYUGGACAAGAAACCGUUAGAGAGCUUUAAUAAGAAGGGGCAGAUUCGGUUUUGUUUGUAAUUUUCAUUCAUCACUUUGUUACAUGGAGGUAUAUAAGGCGGAGUCUGUGGCCACAGGGGAGACUGGAUAGGAAGUACAUUCAUGACCCCAGAAAAGGGGAGGGCUGUGACAGUGGCUUUGGUGGAACCCGGCUGCUAUCAUCACACUCAGGAUGCUGUCAUCACUGCCUUGGCAAGGUCCCCUUCUGUUCAGCGUGUGGUCCACUGGAGGUCCCCAUCAAURGGCCCAGGCAGUGUCUUCCCCAUAUCCUCCCCCUGGAGCACCCCACCACCAAGCUACACCCAGCAGAAGGCAGAGACACUGUGCUGGGAGGACCUCAGGCUCAGACUGUGCAGCCUGGUCCAUGUCCAUCCUUYGCCUCUGUCUAACUCAGAGGUCCUGGUCCAAGGGACUGGACUUCCUUGAGCYUCAGACUCCUCAUAUGUAAAGCAAGAACAGUAACUGCCUCACAGUUAUGUGUGGACAUGGGAGGCUAUCCCCUGUAGAGCCCAGCAUGUAGCGGGCAAUCAAGACGGACUUGUGCAGAUGGCUGUGGCCGUGGACCUAUAGUGAUAGAAGGAUGCCCGUCCCCCCCUCUCCCCGCACACUCAUCCCUCCUGGGAGCCACUCACUGUUCUAAGUACAUGGGUU